GGUAGAAGGUAGAGAGUAGACAGGAAACACAACAAAUCAUCCCCUUUGGUGAUGAGAGUGGAAUAAUGUUAUAUAUGAUAUGAUAACUAUGUUUUAAGCCACAGAAUCCGAGAGGGACAUCCAGUGGCAGCAGAGUACUUAGAAGGGCAGUCGAUGUUUCGAAGACAUUUGUCAAAGCACAGAACCACUUCCGCCAAUUGAGACUGAAGAAUAUACUUCAGGUUGAGGGUGCAGCGUAGAGCAGGCUUCCCAUUAAAGCUUUUGGUUAGGGCUGUUUCAAUGUCGGACGUUUGGUAUAGCCUUCCAUUUAUGGGUUCCAACCCAGAUUUGUUAAGGGCUUCCUCCACGUCGCUCCUCCAAAAAAGGUAAAGAGCUAAUCGGAAAUAGUCAGCGAUUUUGAAAGUUGGAGUUUCGAAGCAUGUGCCGUGUGUAUUCCACUCUUCACUCCAUACUGCUGGGUUUGAACUUAUUAUCAAACUUGGCCAAUCCUCAUCUAGUUCUUUUCUUAUGCUUGUUAUGUUUUGUUGAAGAAAUCUACUGCCGAUGCAACGACCAAUAGGACGAGAAUAGCUAGCAGCCCAAAGACCGUUGAUGCUAAACCUCGACGACGAGGGUCUUAGACAAAUGACAUUGCUGCAAGUUGCUGGUUGCCAUUGCAAUACAAGUUGAUAAUAAUCAAAUGGAACUGCUUUCAGCUCCUCCAAAUCAUAGAAACUAUCAUCAUUUUUUGAUCUCAUGAAAGCUAUGUCCUCCUCUAGCUCAUUCAAGGAAUCCCCUGUUUUUGUAUCAUCAUCUUUUAACUCAUCCAAAGCAUUCCCUAUUGGAAGAUUUAAUAUAAAAAUGCUUAGGAGAAUCAAUAAACUUUUCUUUUUUGCCAUGAGCGACAUAUUUU
rnacentral:misc_RNA from 1 species